GGCCUGAUGGUCUAGUAGUAUGAUUCCUUGUUAGGGUCACAGAUGAUUUCAGUCUGUAUCUAUCGAGGAGGUCCUGGGUUCAAUUCCCAGUUAGGCCC